rnacentral:rRNA from 1 species
UACGGAGGGUGCAAGCGUUGUCCGGAAUCACUGGGCGUAAAGGGCGCGUAGGCGGCUCGAUAAGCGUGUGGUGAAAGCCUGGGGCUCAACCCCGGGUCGGCCAUGCGAACUGUCGAGCUGGAGCACUGUAGAGGCAGGCGGAAUUCCGGGUGUAGCGGUGGAAUGCGUAGAGAUCCGGAAGAACACCGGUGGCGAAGGCGGCCUGACUGGGCAGUAGC